UACGUAGGGGGCAAGCGUUGUCCGGAUUUAUUGGGCGUAAAGAGCGUGUAGGCGGCUUGGUAGGUCCGCUGUGAAAACUCGAGGCUCAACCUCGAGAUGUCGGCGGAAACCACUUGGCUAGAGUCCGGAAGAGGAGAGUGGAAUUCCCGGUGUAGCGGUGAAAUGCGCAGAUAUCGGGAAGAACACCUAUGGCGAAGGCAGCUCUCUGGGAACGGUACUGGACGCUGAGACG
rnacentral:rRNA from 1 species